rnacentral:misc_RNA from 1 species
GAAAUGCGAUAAGUAAUGUGAAUUGCAGAAUUCAGUGAAUCAUCGAAUCUUUGAACGCACAUUGCGCCCCCUGGUAUUCCGGGGGGCAUGCCUGUUCGAGCGUCAUUUCACCACUCAAGCCUCGCUUGGUAUUGGGCAACGCGGUCCGCCGCGUGCCUCAAAUCGACCGGCUGGGUCUUCCGUCCCCUAAGCGUUGUGGAAACUAUUCGCUAAAGGGUGCUCGGGAGGCUACGCCGUAAAACAAACCCGUUUCUAAGGUUGACCUCGGAUCAGGUAGGGAUACCCGCUGAACUUAAGC